CCAACACUAGGGAAUUGGUCGCACGUACUCGCACCCCACCCCACCCCACGCCACGCACGAUCCCCUCACUGCCGCCCCUCUCCGGAUCGCCGCCACCGCCACCGCCGCUCCGGAUCACCGCCACCGCCGCCCCGCUCCGGAUCGCCCCUCCUCUCGAUCCACCCCUUCCGUUGUGUUUUCUCUUUCCCUCGUAUCUCACUCUGCCGCCGCCGCCGCCGCCCCUACUGCUCCACCUGGCCGGACUCUUCUUCGAGCGCGGCGGCAGGAGCAGCUCCACCUCUCCACUCCCCCACGCGACAACUCUCCUAACCCCACCCCCAUACCAUGGAAAGGAGCUACCACGCCAACGGAAUUGACCUCGGGAUCGCGGGGCGCUUAUCACUGGAGGCGAAGAAGGAGGCCGGUGGGGGAGGAGGCCAGGGGCUGGUGGAGGAGGGUUCGCCCGCCGCCACCCCCUCGCCUUUGACUGUCUCCCAUGUCCGCUCGCCAUGCAAAGUGCAGCCCCCAUCUCCCCCUCCGAAUCUCCGCCGAUAUCUCGUCCGUCACCACCUUCCCUCGGUGGUUCAGAUGCAUGCCGAGACGAGCUCUGCUCAAUCAGAAGAAGAGUGGAGGAACACCAUGCUCUGUUCUCUCACCUUGCCCGACUGACCUAUUCUUUUUCCCAAGGCGACUGCAACAUUGGGAUGCGACGGCGGUCCCUGAACCCUCCCUAGAUGCAGCACCAGCAGGCAGUAAGCCCCUGCCCGUCCUCCCCUCUGCAGAGCAACAAGGCUGGUCGAGGGAGCCUAGAACGAUGCUCGUUGGUCAGCAGUGGCUGACAGUAACCAGCGGUGGAUGCGCUGGCUAUGGGAUCUACGGCAGGUCAUCUGGUUGUACUGUACAUGUGCACUUGUGGCUGGUUGACUGGGCACUGUAGCAUGAGGGAAUCAAUGGCCAUCGAAAACAGGCUGGUGGUGGCAAGGGGACACACCGACGCCAUGUUGGCUGACCAUGCCGAGGCAGCCGCGGUGCCCAUGGAUCACUCAGAGAGGUCGCCAAGGAGGCCUGUUUCACCCGCAUGAACAUUCAGCGUGACAACCUCAAGUACGUCUCUAGACCUUACUGAACUAAUUUGGCAAUUUUGUUCAACAUCAUAGCGAUUUUUUGUUUAUUUACUUAAGGUUCCCAUAUACCUACAGCCUGCUUCCUGGGGCUUACAUCCUUACUGAUUGAUUAAUUCAGUCCAAUAGUUUGUGAAGUUUGAUGAAGAAUAAUUUCUAAUACGUUGGGGAAAAGCCAAUAAGGUGUCAUUGACGGGGAUUCAUAUAGUUACACAUUAGAAAAAUUAUGAGUUGAUGUAUCAAAUGAUUGCGUUGUCGUUUCAGGUGGAUUUGGAAUCUGCUCACAGUUUUGCUCAUUAAAGAUGAGUGUGAUCUAUGUUUUGACUGAAACCUAAUAUGUACAUGUACCUCAAUCUGACGAUAUGUACAUAUAUGGAUUCUCUAUCAGUGAUCACGUUAUAUUGUCCCGUUUGUUUGGCCUGAAUCUGGAUCUAGAUGUAACUGAAUAUUGACGUGAUAUACGAGAUUACUUAUCAUGAUCUUACUGGUAAAUGCUUGAACUCGAGUUCGACAGGAUAUGCCAUUUUGAAUUCAGUUACAGUGACUGACGUUGUAGAGCUUCCAAAUGGUACUCGGUGAGUUGCUUGAUUUCACAUGUGCUAAAAAUGUUUUCAUGUUUGUAUCAUUCACAGGUCUUAUAGUUUAUCAGUAACAUUCCUAAGUACUUCCCCUGAACCAUCAUGAUUGCCGACUAAUUCUGGUGUUCAUGGUUAUAUUUCAUAGAAAUGCAAACACUGGUUGGGGUUCUUGCAGAUUUAGAUUGAAGAUGAGGUAGCUGUCCAGGGUCGUGGUGUUUGCUAUGCUUUCCAGAAAGGCAAGUGCAGUCACGGAGCUUCUUACAGAUUUUCACAUGAUGAGCAGGAGAGUGAACAAGGAGUUACAUAUAUGCUACAUGCUCCAUGGGGUGGGAACAAGGGAGUGAUUUUCGCUGGGAGUAGGCAGAAUUGGUGAGUUACUUCUACAUUGCUACGUUCCGCAAGUUGGUAUGCUCAGAAUUAUCUUUGUCGUUGAUUUAAGGGGCUUUGACAAGUACUUGAUUGUGACGAAAGUCACUACGUACUGCUUGGAUGAAUUAUACGGAUGGUACCAAUGUCCAUCCAAGCCGCGGGUUGCCAAUAUGACGAGUAUUUAAAAUAAUCAUUGUUAGUUGACCACAUACUAAAUUCAAGCAUAUUUAAAUGGGUUGUAACGCUUGUUUGCAUAAUGGAUUGCGGUGGAUCAAGUGUUCGUCCAUAUAAUUUCCAGACCUUUCUUUUGUUUAGCAGAGAUGACAGAAUGGUAGCAACAUUAGUAACAUAUGGAAUGGCAAUUCAGUGAAGAAAUUAUAUGACACCAAUCAGACUUGAAUUUGAUGUGGUUAGUAAGCAUGUAUCCAUGGCGUUGUAUACAGAAAUUUCUCAUAUAUAUACAAUUACUUAUUUAGAAUGAAUACUUGGGAGUAUUUAAGGUAAUGUUUACCAAGAUAGAAAUUGCUUAUGUAUUUUCUGAGAUAUGCAAGGGAAUGCUUCCUGCAUUUUGUGUGGAUGCUAUGGUGUUAGGCUAACCAUGUAUAUUCAGUUAAAUGAGCAUUAAUUCCAGCAGAAAUUCAAGGAUGGCAAAAGAUAUAGUUAUCUUUUCCUUUAUUUAAUUAUUCUUUCCCAUGCUGGUCAUGGAUUAGCAAUAAAAACCCGAGAAGUAGAAAUCACUAUCUGUCAUCCUUGUAAUUUUGAUAUUAUUUUGUCCUUGUAAUUUGCAGAUUCAUAUUAGACUAACACUUUUUUGUUAGUAAAAUACUUUAGAACUUAUAUAUAAGCAAGAUAAUAUUAGGACAAAAUUUGGGUGGCACCAGGUGUGGCAAAACAAUGGUGCCAUGGCAGCGGAAUUGGACUGAUGCGACAGUUGCCACUUUCAAAGGGUUGACCUUCACUUUCAAAGUUUUUUUUUCAAAGGGUUGACCUUAUCCGUGUCAUUUAUCUUGUGAUUGUAGUCUAUAGUAACCAGAUGGAAGUGGGCGAUGGGAUGGAGGGAGGGGACAAAAAAAACAGACAAAAAACCGGACGGAAGUGGGGGAUGCAAUCCUACCAACUGCUCCGUUAGGAGUAGAUGGAGCAGCUGGUUGGAUUGCGUCCAUGGUUUUUUUCGUCCCACCACUUUCGUCCGAUUUUUUUUCGACUGGUUUCUUUUCGUCUCCCCUCCCACCGGUUUAUUUUUGCCUCAACUCUCGCACAAUGAAAAAAAUCUAAAUGGAUCAAGACGUUCCAUGUUGAUGCAAGUUAUUUAGUAAUGCCUUUAUGUGAAAGAAUCAAUCACGGUCAAUGUCUAAAGAUCAAAUCUAAAUCAAUUAACCUUACCAUAAAUCGCUCAAUCACAUUAAUUAAUAUUUUACUUCUAAUCUCUUAAUCUCUAUUCGAUCACUUGUUAGCCUGGUAUGGUUUAUUUUUGUCUGGUUUUUCUUUGUCCCACCUCCCACCACCUCUAUCUCUUCACAAAUCACUAAAGUAGAAAAAUAAAAAACGUUCCACUCCUCUCACCACCGGCCUUGAUCCUUUCUGUACUAUCCCAAGGAUGCCGCCGCCGCCUCGCUACCACCGCGUCCGGUCUCCUCCACCAUCAGGUGGGCAGCCCUGAAGCCGCCACGACCGAUGACAGUUAGAUCGAACUGCCGCGGAUGGCAGCGAUUACAUCUUAUUUCAAAUGGAAGGCAAGGUUGGCACACCUACAAGGAUGUACUAGAUCGAUGGCCAGGAGAGCUCGCACUUAGUGUGACUUAACGACAUUCUGACUUUGUUAAUUUACAUCACCAUUCAAAAUUUAGGUUUCAAAAUUACAUGUAUGCACUCCAAUCUGACAGACAUUUUUUAGUUUCAGCAGAUUCGACAAGGCCAAGCUGGGCGUCAAACGGGGCAAAGCGGCAGUCCACGCCGGCGAGAAACCUUGGUAACUAUCGCCCACCUUCAGGUUAUGACUAAUUCAAAUUUAUGUUGGCUGCAUUAACAAAAGGGAAGUGACUACCAUUUUGAGUAUGGUCGAUGACGUGACCUUUGUUUGCUUAUUCCAUUCUUAAUUCAUUUUUGAAGCCGAGCUUGUUGCCUCUUGAAAAUAAGACGGUCGCUACUUUUCAUCUAAUUUGGUGAGAAGAUCAAUCUUACAUGAUUAUUGAUUUCAAAACAUGUCGUUGCUGAGCUUUACCCAUAAUUUAAUAAAUCAUAUAGCACUAAUCGUCAUUAUAUUGUUGAUUUGUCAGAGGUUGAAUGGCUAUUCUGUUUCGUCUAGAAGCUUUGUUGCCUUGAUAGUUUCAUCCGUUUGCAACAUUUUUGUUAUGACACUAAUCAAUGAACUCUUAACUGUUUGUGUGGAAAAGAGGACUUCAGGGCCUGCUAAGCACGACGGGAGGACUGCAAUUGAUAGAAACAAGAGAUAACAUGGUUGGUUAGCUUGAACCAGAGCUUGCUUGAAGCAUAUGCACAUCCGGGUGUGAUGUGGAUUGAGUAAGCACAUAAAGUUGUGAUGCUAAUACAUACCAAGUCGAGAGCCAUAUCACUUGGUUGCCGUGCUAGGAAUAUGCUAUGCAUACAUCAUUCAUGUAAUGAUCUUCUAUUUAUGUUUUUUAUGCCAUUAAUCUUAAGGCUAAAGUGUACUCCCUCCAUAAACUAAUAUAAGAGCAUUUAGAUCACUACUUUAGUAAUCUAAACACUCUUAUAUUAGUUUACAGAGGGAGUACUUUAUUAGAGCAGUAUUUGAAUGAAACAAAUACCAAGACAGAAUGUGGAAGGUUCGAAUGAGUUCUCUUGCGUUUUCUCGAAAAUGUGGAAGGUUUGAAGAUUUUUUAUAUAAUUCUUUGAGAACAGAGAAGUAACCCAUGUUAUUUUGGAAAUGGAGUUUCAGAAUUUGAU